rnacentral:rRNA from 1 species
AGCGGGACAUUUGAGGAUGGGGUGACUGCGUACCUUUUGUAUAAUGGGUCAGCGACUUAUAUUCUGUAGCAAGGUUAACCGAAUAGGGGAGCCGUAGGGAAACCGAGUCUUAACUGGGCGAAUGAGUUGCAGGGUAUAGACCCGAAACCCGGUGAUCUAGCCAUGGGCAGGUUGAAGGUUGGGUAACACUAACUGGAGGACCGAACCGACUAAUGUUGAAAAAUUAGCGGAUGACUUGUGGCUGGGGGUGAAAGGCCAAUCAAACCGGGAGAUAGCUGGUUCUCCCCGAAAGCUAUUUAGGUAGCGCCUCGUGAACUCAUCUUCGGGGGUAGAGCACUGUUUCGACUAGGGGGUCAUCCCGACUUACCAACUCGAUGCAAACUACGAAUACCGAAGAAUGUUAUCACGGGAGACACACGGCGGGUGCUAACGUUCGUCGUGAAGAGGGAAACAACCCAGACCGCCAGCUAAGGUCCCAAAGUCAUAGUUAAGUGGGAAACGAAGUGGGAAGGCUCAGACAGCCAGGAUGUUGGCUUAGAAGCAGCCAUCAUUUAAAGAAAGCGUAAUAGCUCACUGGUCGAGUCGGCCUGCGCGGAAGAUGUAACGGGGCUAAACUAUGCACCGAAGCUGCGGCAGCGAACGUAUCACUUAAACUGAUUAAGUGAUACUCAAAUGUAUCAAAACGAUUGACGGAGCGAAGCGACGUCAAUGCGUCCAACAAAGUCGAGGCGGAAACGUCAGGCAGUCAGUUUAAGGAUACGUUCGUUGGGUAGGGGAGCGUUCUGUAAGCCUGUGAAGGUGUGCUGUGAGGCAUGCUGGAGGUAUCAGAAGUGCGAAUGCUGACAUAAGUAACGAUAAUGCGGGUGAAAAACCCGCACGCCGGAAGACCAAGGGUUCCUGUCCAACGUUAAUCGGGGCAGGGUGAGUCGACCCCUAAGGCGAGGCAGAAAUGCGUAGUCGAUGGGAAACGGGUUAAUAUUCCCGUACUGGUGAUAAUUGCGAUGGGGGGACGGAGAAGGCUAGGCUAUCCGGGCGACGGUUGUCCCGGUUUAAGGAUGUAGGCAGGUGAA